rnacentral:rRNA from 1 species
AGCGAACGCUGGCGGCAGGCCUAACACAUGCAAGUCGAACGAACUCUUCGGAGUUAGUGGCGGACGGGUGAGUAACACGUGGGAACGUGCCUUUAGGUUCGGAAUAACUCAGGGAAACUUGAGCUAAUACCGGAUGUGCCCUUCGGGGGAAAGAUUUAUCGCCUUUAGAGCGGCCCGCGUCUGAUUAGCUAGUUGGUGAGGUAAAGGCUCACCAAGGCGACGAUCAGUAGCUGGUCUGAGAGGAUGAUCAGCCACAUUGGGACUGAGACACGGCCCAAACCCCCACGGGGGGGCGGAGGGGGGAAAUUUUGGGAAGGGGGGGAAAGCCGAACGCGCCCAGCCCGGGGAAAUAAUGAGGGUUUAAGAAUGAAAAAUUUUUUCCCCCGGGAACGAAAUGGCCGAACCCGGGAAAAGAGCCCCGGGUAACCUCCU